AGGUGAACUGCGGAAGGAUCAU
rnacentral:rRNA from 1 species